AAUAGGAAAGGAUGAGUCAAUGACAUGAAGAAACUUCCAAGUUGAAUAUUAGUUGCAAAGAUAUUUUGGAUAUUACUUAGCUUGGUUUUUCCUACAAACGAAAAUAUGUACUUUUUGAAAUAUUUACAAUCAAUAGUCUUCUUUUUCUUUUUUCCUUCCUUUAAUAAGAUUGACCGGUAGUUUUUGUAAUAUGGAGAUCUUGGCUAGAAAUUGACAAUACGUGACUUAGAUAGAUACAUGAAUUAUAAAUGUACAUCCUACUUGUAUCUGGUGUUUAUAUUAAACUAAACAAUUUAAUUUUAAUAGUAUAAAAAUAUUCUGAAAAAAUACAUCAAUUAAUCAUGAUGAAAAUGUAGAUGUCUUUAUAUAAUAACGUAUGUUUUGCAUUUAUUGAUUUGAUAUGAAUAUGACUACUGAUAAUAUUUUACCAAAUUUAUCGGCCUUUCCUAGACUUUUCACUUUAAUACUAGGCUAUAACUAUGUAUUUUGGCUACUAUUUGCACUUUAAAUUGGCUGUACUUUACUAAUGUUUGAGCGUUAAAUGGUAGUAAAUUGCUCUAAUUGAGUAUUUUAUGCUUUGCAGGAGCAACUCCGGGCUACAAAAAGGUUAAGGAGUGUUUUGAGAUAAUAUGGAGCGUUGAAGGCCAAGUAAAAGCUUAUGGAGUAAAUUGGGAGUUCGUUAGAGGAUCGAAAGAGGUUAGCGCAAUUAAAAAUAAGAACGAAGAAGAAUGCAGAAAAUGGCCCAGGUACGCGGUCGCGCACUGGCCGCGCAAGUCAUGCAGAAAUUUCACAAAGUGCGCGGCCAGAUGCGCAAUCACCCUCCCAGGUGCGCGGCCGCACAUGUCUCUCCGAGAAAAAUUAUUCCAGGGCUCAACUUGUAAUUUCACAGGCAACUCUCCUUGACCUAUAUGAAGCCUAGCUCGCCCAAAAAGAGGGUAUCUUGGUUUUUAGAAGAAUUUUGAAGGAAAGAACAUGCAAGAAGCAUGACGAAAGAUUCGGCAACGAGUUUUUAUCUUUCUUCCUCUAGUUUUUGUCAUUGAUGAUGAAUUCUAUUGUUGUGAUUGUGAAAACAAUUAUGCAUAGCUAAACUCCUAAUUUAGGAUUUUGAUGGAACCUAUUGGAGGAUGAUUCGUUAAUAUAGAUUGUCGUAGUAUUCUCUCUAUUUGUUCCACUAUAUUAUUAUUGUUGUUGAUUGAAGGGCCCUCAAUCGACUAUGCCUAAUUAGUAUGUAUUACUCGGGAAAGAGUACAUAUUUAGGUAGUUGUUGAACAACAUCACUCCUAACGUAUAUGAGGGAUCAAUACGAAGGGUUUAAAGGUGGGAUUAGAGAUAACGAAACCUUGGUGCGAUCUGAGUUAGCUGUACUUAAGGCCAGCUAGCGUAAUUCGGGAGAAUAUGUCUAGUAUAUUGUGGUAAUUACUUGGGAGAGAGUUAUGACAGUCAGAGUGCUCAUGAUCGAUAGAGAAGACUUAAACAAAUUUAUAGAAAACAUAGCGGAAAGGAUUCCGACAAUAAGGGAAAUCAUAACCUUAGAUCAUUCCAAUUCUUGUCUAUAACUUGUUCGUAGUUAGUUAUUAUUUAUUGCAUUUUUAUUACGUACUAUUUAGUUAGUAAACAUCCAUGUUAUUACUUAAAUAUUUCUGAAGAUUGAUUACGUGAAUUUGUGUGAGUCCAAUAGUUGUGUUUAAUAGGUUAUUUCCCUGUGGGAUUCGACUCCGAACUUGUUAACCGGAAUAUAUUUGCAACGACCGCUUAGUCCUUUUUAUAAGACAUAGUUGGGCGUAAUCAAAUUUUGGCAACAUUGCCGGAGACUUAACGGUGUUAUUAAUUGGAGCUAAAAGAAGUGCUAGAAUUCUUAAUGUAGUCAAUUUUCAUCAAUUUAAACUAAAUACAUUGAAAUUGUAACGUUUGUAGUCUUGGGUGUUACAGGUGCAUGCCUAGAAACUCCUCAAGAACUGGUGAAUUGUUCGAAGCAUUAUCAGAUCCGGAGAAAUAUUCAAGUCAUUGAAUCAUGCAAACAAGAAAGGCAAACAACAACAGAACUCAACAGAACAAAUCGAACCAGACAUGGAAGACGGAGUAAAUAAUCCAAACAACAGAAACAAUGUGAAUGACCUGAACAAUCAGGGUAUGGUGCCUCUUGUGCCAGAAGAAACAUUGUAUGAUUGGGCACAACCCACAGCCGACAACCUAUCAACCACAAUUGCAAUCCCUCAGAUACAAGCAGAAUCAUUUCAAAUCACAAACAACAUGCUACACUUGUUGCAGAAUAAGGGACUGUUCUCAGGAUCAUAUAUUGAAGAUCCUCAGCAGCAUCUAAAGAAUUUCCUAUCGAUAUGUGUCACGUAAAAGCAACCUAAUGUGACACCGGAAGCAAUAAAGCUGUUGUUAUUUCCAUUCUCGGUGACGGGAGAGGCUCAGACUUAGCUUAAUUCACUCCCCAUUAAUUCCAUCACUACUUUGGAGGAAUUAGUCAAAUUAUAUCCACCUAAUAAGACUGCUCAACAAAUUGAUGAGAUAUUGAGCUUUAGACAGAAACCAAAAGAAACAUUAAAAGAAAUGUGGGAGAGGUUCAAGGGUAUCCUGGUUAAGUGUCCACAUCAUGGCAUUCCAGAGUAGAUGUUGGGGUAGUGGUUCUACAUGGGAUUGGCAGACAACUUAAAGGCCAAUGUUGAUGCUUCAGCAGGUGGAGCAUUUUUGAGUAAAACAUUCAGAGAAAGCAAGAUCUUACUUGAUAAGAUGGCCCAAAACUCAGGAUGGAUGACAAGAGACUCUACAAUCACUCUUGUAGUUCAUUUAGUGGCUUUAAACCCAAAUAACUCUAUAGCUGAAAAUAUGGCCACUCUAGUGAUGCAAAUGAGUAUCCUCACCAAAAGUUAGAUGAAUCAAGACAGAAACAGCAGGUACACAUAGUUUAUGCAACUAACGGGGGCUUAUGUACACUAUGCAUUAACCAACCAUAUAUUUUCUCGUGGAGUGCGGAAGGUGAUAACCAACAAUAUCAGGAAAAUAUGAACUAUAUGGCCAACUAUUGGGGGCAGAGGCAAGGUGGUCAGAAUUGGGGACAACAUAAGCAACAAUAUAUACCAGCACAGCAUCAGUACAACAUCAACAACAAUCUUGGAGCUAUGCGACCACAGGGUCAAGUGGUGCCUUACCAAAGGCAACAAGGUUACAACCAACAAAAUUAGCAGUUGGAUUAUCAACAACCUCAACAAGAACAAAUUGUGAGACAAGAUGAUGGGUUUGCUGAACUUAAGGGAAUGCUAAAUAACAACAACAGAAUGUUGCAACAACUAAUUGGGACUACUAGAAAAUUAACCGAGGGAGUAGACUCACAUGAAUCAACGAUAAAAGGUAUUGAGGUUCAAUUAGGACAGAUUUUGAUGGCUUUAAACAAUUAUCCCUAAGGGACGUUACCUGCAGACACACAAAUCAAGCCAAAAGAGCAUGGCCCGAAACAACUUAUGGUAGUGAGUCUACAAAAUGGUAGAUUCCUAGAUCUGGAGCAAGAAAUUGCUCGUGAAAGCCAACCUACUGAAACACUUGUGCCAGUACCCAUUGAGAUAGAUGAUUCAACAGGGUUAACUGAGGUGACGGUAUAAAAUGCACAUGAGAACACCAGCAAAGAAAAAGAGGUUGCAAAGGAGACUGAGGUAGCACAUGAAACGACAGUAGAAGCAGUGCCUGAGCAAGAAAAAAAUCAAAUCACAGGGAAGAAGCGACCUCCACCGUUCCCACAAAGAUUGGCCAAGUAUCAGAAAGAAGAGCAGUAUAAGAAAUUCUUGGAGAUGUUGAAGCAAAUUCAGGUAAACAUUCCAUUGAUUGACGCCUUAAAGGAAAUGCCUGGUUAUGCAAAAAUGAUGAAGGACUUGAUGUCUCGUAAGUUCGACUUUCAAGACUUGGCCAUGGUUACACAGACUCAGACAUGUAGUAUUUCUAUGAUGAGACCCAUAGUUGAGAAGUUGUUUGACCCAGAGAGUUUCACAAUCCCAUGCACAAUAGGCAACUAUGUAUUUGCUAUGGCACUUUAUGAUUUGGGGGCAAACAUAAACAUGAUGCCCCUGGCUAUCUACAAAAGGUUAGGCAUUGGAAGAGCUAGACCCAUGUCCAUGUUACAACAGCUGGCUAACCGGAUAGUGAAGAAGCACUCUGGUAUUCUUGAUGAUGUAUUAGUACAGGUUGAGAAAGUUGUGUUCCCAGCAGAUUUUGUCCUUCUUGACUGUCGGGUUGACGAGAAAAUUCCCACAAUUUUGGGAAGACCAUUCCUGGCCAUAGGGAGAGCUUUAAUUGACUGUGAAACUGGAGAGCUCAAAAUGAGAAUAAAUGAUGAAGAAAUAACAUUCAACGUGCAGAAAUCUAUGCGGUGACCAAGUGAAUUUGCUUACUGCUCUUUAAUACAAGCCGCGGAUGUAAUUUUGGAGGAGGAAGAUGAGACAUUGAAUACUAAAGACCCUCUAGCAGCCUGUCUCAUGAACUUAGAUGAAGCAAAUGGAGAGGACUUGGCGGAGUGGGUACUUGCUCUUGAAGUCCAAGGUAUUUGGAGAAGGGGGCUCGAAUUUGAGCCUUUGCACUUAGAGAAAAGGAAAAUUCCUCCAGCUAAGUCGUCUAUAGAAGAGCCACUAAAGUUGGAACUGAAGCCCCUACAACCUCAUCGCAGGUAUGCUUUCUUGGGACUUAACUCAACUUUACCUGUUAUUAUCUUAUUUAGUUUGUUAGAUGUGCAGGUAGAACAACUUUUGCAGGUAUUGAUGGAGUGCAAGACUGCAAUUGGUUGGACCAUUGCAGAUAUCAAGGGUAUCAGCCCAGUAUUUUGUAUGCAUAAGAUUCUACUAGAACAUGGGUACAAACCUUUCAGAGAACAUCAAAGAAGGCUGAACCCCAACAUGAAAGAAGUGGUAAAGAAAGAAGUGAUUAAGUGGUUAUAUGGGGGAAUCAUAUUCCCUAUAUCUGUCAGCAACUGGGUCAGCCCAGUUUAGUGUGUGCUGAAGAAGGGUUCGGUAUGACGGUAGUGAAAAAUGAGAAGAACGAGUUAAUCUCAACACGAACAAUCAUAGGCUGGAGAAUUUGUAUGGGUUACAGAAAGUUGAACAUGGCUACCAGGAAAGACCAUUUAUCACUGCCAUUCAUUGGUUAGAUGCUAGAUAGAUUGGCAGGGAGGUCUCACUACUGCUUUUUGGAUGGGUACUCAGAGUAUAAUCAGAUCUUUAUUGCCUUGGAGGAUAGAGAGAAAAUGUCGUUCACCUGCCCUUAUGGUAUCUAUGCCUUUCAGAGAAUGUCGUUUGGCCUAUGCAAUGUACUCGCCACAUUCUAAAGGUGCAUGAUGGCCAUCUUCAUAGAUAUGGUAGAGGAAAUAAUGGAGGUGUUCAUGGAUGACUUCUCAGUGGUGGGGAACUCAUUCGAUGAUUGCCUUAUGAACUUGAGAAGAGUAUUAAAGAGGUGUAUCAAGACUAAUCUAGUACUCAACUAGGAAAAGUGUCAUUUCAUGGUAUAGGAAGGUAUAUUCUUGGGGAACCUAGUUUCGAGUAAAGGCAUUGAGGUGGAUCGUGCAAAGGUUGAUGUGAUCGAAAAGCUUCCACCACCCAUGUCCGUCAAAGAAAUAAGAAGUUUCCUCGAACAUGUAGGUUUUUAUAGGAGAUUCAUAAAAGAUUUUUCCAAAUUUUCUAACCCGUUGUGUAAAUUGCUUGAAAAAGAUCACCUUUUUGUGUUUUUUGAUGGCUGCAGGGUAGCUUUUGAGGAAUUGAAGAAGAGGCUGGUAACAACACCUAUCAUAGUUGCACUUGACUGGGAGCAAACAUUUGAGCUAAUAUGUGAUGCGAGCGACUAUGCUGUGGGAGCAGUUCUUUGUUAGUGAAAACACAAAGUCAUGCAUUCAAUAUACUACGCAAGUAGAACUCUGAAUAGUGCCCAAUUGAAUUACACAGUAACCGAGAAGGAGAUGCUAGCAGUGGUGUUCACCUUUGACAAAUUCAGGUCAUACCUGAUAGGCUCGAAGGUAAUUAUUUAUACAGACCAUGCAGCCCUCAGGUACUUAAUCGAAAAGAAGGAGUCAAAGUUGCACCUGAUUCGAUGGGUGCUACCGAUGUAAGAAUUUGACUUGGAAAUCCAUGACCGAAAGGGAACGGAGAACCAAUUGGCUGAUCACUGUCUAGGCUGGAAGGAGCUGGGAAGAAGGUAGAGGUGGAAGAGAAUGUGGAGACUUUCCCAGAUGAACAACUAUUAUCCACGAGUCUUGAGGUAGCGCAAUGGUAUGCAUACAUUGCAAACUACCCGGUGAGCAGUAUUGUUCCUUAUGACCUUUCCUCUGUCCAAAAGAAAAAGUUAUUUCGUGAUUGUCGCAUAUAUUAUUGGGAUGAGCCUUAUUUGUUCAGGAUUUAUAUUAAUAACAUGAUCCAGCGAUGUAUCCCCGAGAUAGACCAGUCUUUUAUUUUGUAGGAGUGUCACGCGUCACCAUAUGGUGGCCAUUCCGAAGGAGUAAGGAUAGAUACAAAAGUCUUGGAGUCGGGCUUCUACUGGCCGACAUUGUUCAAAGAUGCACACUUAUGGGUGAUAGGUUGUGAUGAAUGUCAACGUACAUGGAAUAUUUCCUGCCGACAUGAGAUGCCUAUGAACUCAAUUCAGGAGGUAGAAGUGUUUGAUGCAUGGGGAAUCGACUUCAUGGGGCCUUUUGUUAGCUCAUAUGGCAACAAGUACAUACUCGUAGCUAUGGACUACGAGUACAAAUGGGUGAAGGCCGCAACGCUACCUACAAAUGAUGUAAAAGGGGUAAUUGGUUUUGAAGAAAGAAUAUAUUCACAUGAUUUGGCACUCUAAGGGCAAUAAUCAGUGAUGGAGGCACUCACUUCUGUAAUCGAGCCUUCGCAAAGUUGUUAGAAAGUAUUAUGUAUGCCACAAGAUUUCCACUCCAUAUCAUCCACAAAUGAGUGGGCAAGUGAAAGUUUCGAACAGAGAGAUAAAGAGUGUGUUGACAAAGAUUGUGAAUGCUACAAGAACAUAUUGGGCAAGAAAGUUAGAUGAUACACUCUGGGCCUAUCGUACCGCUUUAAAACUUCGAUUGGCAUGUCGCCAUAUAAAUUGGUGUUUGGGAAGGCGUGUCACCUACUAGUGGAGUUGGAGCAUAGAGCUUUGUGGGCAUUGAGGCAGCUUAAUCUCGAUAUAGAAGCUGCGAGCACAAGUACAGUCACAGAGUUUGCAUGAGCUUGAUGAGUUUUGCUACCACACUUUUGAGAGCACAAGUCUAUACAAAGAAAUAAUGAAGAUGAUGUAUGACAAAAAUAUUCUUGAAUAGAGUUUUAACCCGGAGAUAUGGUAUUGCUUUACAAUUCAAAAUUGAGGUUAUUUCUGGGCAAAUUAAAGUCAAAAUUGUUAGGACCAUUUAGUGUGGUAGAGAUUCACCACACUGGUUCCAUAGAGAUUGUUGCAGAAAAUGACUCUCACACAUUCAGAGUCAGUGGACACAGGUUAAAAUAUUAUGUGGGCAUGGAUGACGCGAAAGUAGUAUCGGUGACUCAUUUGCUCAAGCCACCAAUGUUGAGUGAGACGUAAGAGCGAUGACCUACGUCGUGUUGCGACAUUAAACCAGGCGCUUUAUGGGAGGCAACCCAUUGUAAUGUUGUAUAAAUAAUUAGAAAAAAAACUGGGAAAAAAAUCACGUGUGAGACCGCGCAUUGAUUGCGCAGUUUUAGAUUUUUCUGCCACAGAUGUGCGGUCGCGCACUGGGAACUGUUGGUAGGGUUUUAACUAGUAAUUUUAGUUUGUAUUUUUUAUCUUUUCCUUAGUCAUUUUUUUUAUUAAAAAAANNNNNNNNNNNNNNNNNNNNNNNNNNNNNNNNNNNNNNNNNNNNNNNNNNNNNNNNNNNNNNNNNNNNNNNNNNNNNNNNNNNNNNNNNNNNNNNNNNNNNNNNNNNNNNNNNNNNNNNNNNNNNNNNNNNNNNNNNCCCCCCCCCACCCCCCCCCCCCGCAACCCUAAAAACUCCCGUUCCUCCCCCCUUACUAACCUAAAUCCUAAACCCCCUCUUUUAUUCUAUCUCCCUUCCUUAAAAUCCCCCAAUUUCAAAACCUAACCCCACCCCCUUUCAUCUCUUCUCUUCUAACUUCUCUUAUCUAAUUUCUGUCAUUUUCUCCCCAACCUACACCCCCACAAUUCCGUCAGGUAAGUACCCUUGUUUAAGUUUGUUUUGUAUGCCAUUGCUUAGGUUAUUUUAAUUUUUGUGUAUUGUAGUAGAUUCCUAUUGUAUUGCAGUGGAUUUCUUCUUGUAUUGUAUUCUCGUUAUACUCAUUGGUAUGUCGAGGCAAUAGUUGAAUUUUAUUAUGAUGGGUUAGGUUGACAUUGGUAUAUCAGUGGUUGAAUUGGGGUUAUCAAAUUGCUGUUUGCGAGUUAAGGUGAAUUGGGAAGUUUAGGUGUUUGUUUAAAUGCCACGAUGAGUUUGAGAAUGUAAUUUUGUGACCAAGUGUGCUGGUUAAGUUUGGGUAACCGCCCUUGGUUAACAUAUCGUGCCUUUCGCUGAUGGUGGUAUUUGUUUCAGGUAGUAUGAUGCCAUCCAAGAAAUGAAGAACCAGGGGUGCAUCCUCUAGUGGUCAUGCUGGAUCAUCCCGUUCGCGAGGUUCUGCUAAUGUUUGCCAGUAUGAUAGUACCAAGUUCGUAUAUAGAGCGGCUCAGGAAUGUUUUGGUCAUAAGUCUUCUAAGAAACUCAUACCGGAGAAGGGAAUUGAUAUGGGGUCACUCCAAAAUGACUUUCCCAACAUGUAUUAUGAAUUGGUCCAGCGCAGGCUAGAUAUCUUGUUUGAAGAACCGGAUGAAGCCAAUUUAAUGAACCACGUCUACACAGUGCGGAAAAAGAGUGUGAACGCAUCCAUAGAGGCCAUUCGGAGGGCUUACCGGUUGCCAAUGUUUGGGGAAGAUCCUGACGCAGAGGACUACUAUGACAUCCAUGGAAGAGUACCAAUCCCGUGGGAAGGGUUCUUUAGGAAAAUAUGUGUGCCCAACAAGGAAGUAGUGUGGAUUACGCAACAGAAGAAGUUUCAUUCGGCUUCGUUCAUCUUUGAAGGGAAGUGUUGGCUCUACGUCAUCAAUAGCCGCCUGCUGCCUUCUUCCAAUACCACUAAUGUGAAUGGUCCUCGUGCUGCGCUGAUCUGGUGUUUCAUCAAUGGCCACGAUUUUGAUGUGGCUAAGGUUAUCCAUGAUGAAAUGUUCAUUCGUUUCCAGGUGCAAAGGUAUGGGUUCUUCUUUCCUUCAUUAAUCACUAGAUUAUGUCGUGCAAUACGUGUACCGAAAAACAAAGACUUGGAUGGGACAAUAAAGAAAGAAUAGAAGUUCUGUGCUGAUAAAGUGGUAAUUGGGAAGGAUCUUGUUGCACCUUGUCUCGCCCCUUUUUUCCUCGCGGAGUUCGGGGUUUUGACAUUUUUGGAGUACAACUCCUUUCCUUUUGGGAAUUGGGUAUGAGAUUUGAAGAGUCACCACCUAACAGAUUAAGGUGUGUUAGGGCACCUAGAGCAAAUAACUCAUGAACUAGUUUACACCACUAGAGAUUUGGUAAGGGCUCAAAAUUACCUUGAGGGGAAGGUGUUAGGAACCCCUCGAGGUCCACAACGGUGGUUCCAUGCCAAACUCAAUUUAAGUGAAUUAGUCUUAUUAGGAAAUAAAGCAAUUUAAACAAAUAGAUAUUACUUUUAAAACAAGGAGUAAAGGGGGUCAUAGGUUUUUUAGCCUAUAGGAUCACUUUUGUGCAAUACUUGGUAAUCGUCCCCAAGUUAGGGUGUUACACAUAACAUUAGCACACAGAUCAUCAUUUCCUUUUACUAUCCAAUUACCCUCCCCUUUUUUAAUUAUUACCUUAGCGUUCUAAUAACAUCCAGUACGUACCUUAUGCGUGCAAAAUCCGUCCUUACCUCUUGACCUGGAGGUGUUUAGGGCCUCUAUUUAAGGCAGUUCUAGACUCACCUAUGUUUUUUAAAAGGAGAAAACUAAGCGACAAACAAAAGUCAAGUAGGACUGUCACACAAGAAGCAAUUAAGUGGGAUCAUGUUAACCUCCACAAAUAGACAAACAAAUGUAUGUUGUUCAAACAAUUCUAAAUAAUUUUAGGGUCCUAUAGGCAGGAUAUCUAAAAGAGCACAAACAGAAUAUACAACAGUUUUAUUAAAGCAAGCAUACAAAUACCUAUCAGUUUGCCUACUAACUUUGUUAAUACUCUGGAUCCGAGCAGAUGCCAAAUAAGCAAUCACAGUUUUUAGACCCAGAAUUUAAUUAACCUACAGGCUUGCCUUAGUGAUAACCGGGCAGAACCUUAUAGACAUGGCAUCGAAGCUGUAAAUCAACUACUGAUUUUUAACAGGCAUAUUUUAUCUUUAAAUCCUAUAGGCAUGCUUUCUAAGUGCUAAAACGGGUUUUGAAAUCCUAUAGGCAUGAUUUCUAAAUGCUGAAACUGGUUUUAAAACUUAUAGGCAUGAUAUCUAAAUUGCAGAAGUUGAUUCCUUUAUUUCCUACAUGCAUGAUUUCUAAGUAUAGAAACUAAUUUUGAAAUCCUAUAGGCAUGAUUUCUAAAUGCAGAAACUGAUUUUGAAAUCCUAUAGGCGUGAUUUCUAAAUGCAGAAACUAAUUUUGAAAUUCUAUAGGCAUGGCAUUUACAAUUAUAAACAUAUAGGCAUGAUAUCUAUUAAUCACACGUGGGCAAAAUUCUUUAAACACAUUGCUAGGAAAAUUACUAAUCGAAUAGAUAGGGUCCUAUUGACAUGGUUACUAAUGAAUAUAAAAAUAAGCAUGGAUCCUAUGGACAGGAUUUCUAGUGCAAAGAAUUAAACAUAAAGUCCUAUAAGAAGAAUUUCUAACAUGCAGAUGUGCAGCACAGAAUCAAACGAUCAGAAAAAUCCUGCAGGCAGGAUCACAAUACAGUAUCCACAUAAUGCAAUCAAUAUAGUUAAGUCCUAUAGGCAGGAUUUCUACCCAAUUUCAACAAAAGAUAUAAGAAUAGACCCCCCAACUUUUAUUAAUAACCCCAUAUCUAUUUAUUACAGAGAUCAUUACAGGCCAAUAUGAAUAAAUUACACAAUAAUAAUCAUUAUACUAUAGGGAGCCUUAGCAUGGCCAACAUAAACCUGAGAGCCAGGCCUUCAGCACAACAGUCUUGAAACAGUAACAGAUAUUCAUUCAUAGCACAUUAAACAAAACUUCCAAUGUGUCAAAGUUCCCAAAGAGCCUCAGGGACCCCGGGCAACGCUCACACUAGAGCCAUGUAUUCAACACAGAAUUCAUAUAGGGUUGGAAAACCAGCCCCAAUGUAUCAGAGUUCAAAGGAGUCUUAGGGACCCUAUGCCGUGCUCACACUGGGGGUGGUAGGAACCUAAAGGGCUAAGAGUAGCAAUUUGAAAACUAGUACAUAGAAGGUAAGGGGGACAAUUUUAGAAAAUAGUUUAAUUUUAGAAGCAAAUAGAUUCAGGAUACAGGGGUUGCAAAUAGAGUCAUACAAAUAGGGUCCAUACUCAGUACAUGAUUCAGGAAGAUUGGUAUUUAUUUAGAGUGGAUACUUAUAUCAGUGAUCACAAAAAGCAAGGACACUUGAAUUAACAGACAGAGUUAGCCAGAUUACAUGCUUGCAGUAUCCAGCCAUGUUCAGAACAAGGAACAUACAACUGAUUUAGAUAGGGUUUCACAUAACUUAGUUUAUUAACUAUCACUAGGUGGACUCAUAUAGACAUAUAUUGAAUAAAAGCAUGCUGGAGUUUGAAAUAACUAACCAAACAAACAUAUAGCACAGGAUAACAGGAACUAAAGCUCUCUAGUCUAGAAAGAAGUAAACAGAAAUCAAGGACCAGACAUGCUAAGGUAAGCCCAUCACACAACCACAUAGAACAAAGCAAAUUAAUAGGAUUUGAGGCAUACUAGUCAGGGAGAAUGCAAGUAAGAAACACAUGGCAAACAGAAACAUAUUGCAGUUGGAAGUACACUAAUCAUAUAAUCACAUGGAACAACAAUAACUGAGGCAUAACACACGAGAACAUGAUGACCAGGAAUCAUGUAUCAAACAGGAACAUGUCGAGGUCUAUAAUAGACUGAAUACAUAGCAUAUAGAAUAGAACAUGGUAACAGGAAUUGAGACAUACUAGUUAAGAGAGUAGUAAACAGGAAACAGAAGGGGCAAACAGAAUCAUAUUGAAGUCUAACUACAUAGCAUAUAGAAAAGAACAUGAUAACAGAAAUGGAGGCAUACCAGUUAAGGAGAUCGCAAACAGGAAGGUGAAGACGAAAGAAAUCCAAGAGUCUAGCCUUGACUUUCAGCCCGCUAGACAGUGCACCAGAUCAACGAAACUGAAAUUGUGUAAGUGUGUGUGUGUAUUAGUAUGUGCUUGUAAGUAUAGAUAUCUGAGUCUGAGCGUGAGUGUCUUUAAAGGGGAAUGGGGAAGGGUUUAAAUAAUGUAGGAGUUAAACACAUAAACAUGAAAAAUCAAUUAGUCAAACACUAGAAAGGUAAGCGUUAAAAUCAGUAAAAUUGAACCCUAAACUUUAGGUGAAGAUACACAAAAUCAGUAGGAAAAAGGUAAAGAAUCACAUAAGGCAUAUAAUGAAAAGAGAUACCAGAUUUGGUUCAGGUAAAAAGGGUCUGAAAUCCUAAUUUAGGUAAAUCCCAAAAUCAGCAGAGAAUAAUGGCAAAGAAUCACGUAAUAGCACAAAAAUAAACGUAGACAGGAUUAUUCAAAAGAAGAGUAGGAUUGCACCAGAUUUGGUUCAAGAAAAAAGGUUUGAAACCCUAAAUUUAGGUAAACCAUAAAAUCAACCGAAAAUAAAGCAAAUAAUCACAUAUUUGCAUAAAACGAACAAAGAUGAGAGAUUAUUCAAAUGGAAGCACAGAAUCGAACUAGAAAGAUCUGAAAUCCUAACUUAGGGCAAAAUAAGGUAAAAAAAUAUUGAAAACACGUUAGAUUAAACAGAAAUAAGGAAAAUAUUAGUCAAAUACAAGAAAGGAAAGAGUAUCAAUCAGAGAUCAGUAAAGAACAAGGAAAUGUCUCAAACCCUAGUUGAGACUGAUGCUUUGAAUCGGACCAGAGAUGCAAGAAUCAUUCAAUAAAACAUGUAUAUGGACGGAAGAUCAUCCAGAUCUUCAUAGAAUCAGGGUGAAUCUAUCCGUUAUUGAGGUAGUUCUUGCCAAAAAUAGGGCAAGAAUCUAAGUAAUACCGUAGAUGAGCAUAUAAUGAUAGAGUAAUACAAAAUAGGUAAGCAAAUCAUGGAUUGAUUCCAUGUUUGAGCCAUAAUAAGAGAGAUUUGAGGGUGACGACGCUAGGGUUUGACAAAGAUGGAGAGGGCGUUGAGUGCAUUUAAAGACGAC
rnacentral:lncRNA from 1 species